UACGUAGGGUGCAAGCGUUAUCCGGAAUUAUUGGGCGUAAAGAGCUCGUAGGCGGUUUGUCACGUCUGCUGUGAAAACUGGAGGCUCAACCUCCAGCCUGCAGUGGGUACGGGCAGACUAGAGUGCGGUAGGGGAGAUUGGAACUCCUGGUGUAGCGGUGGAAUGCGCAGAUAUCAGGAGGAACACCGAUGGCGAAGGCAGAUCUCUGGGCCGUAACUGACGCUGAGGAGCGAAAGCAUGGGGAGCGAACAGG
rnacentral:rRNA from 1 species